UAGGAAUUGGCGGGGGAGCACUACAACGGGUGGAGCCUGCGGUUCAAUUGGAUUCAACGCCGGAAAGCUUACCGGGUCAGACAGCAAUAUGAAGGUCAAGCUAAAGACUUUACCGAAUUCGCUGAGAGGAGGUGCAUGGCCGUCGUCAGUUCGUAUCGUGAGACAUCCUGUUAAGUCAGGCAACGAGCAAGACCCGUGCCCACAGUUGCCAGCAUACCCUCCGGGGUGAUGGGCACACUGUGGGGACCGCCGCUGCUAAAGCGGAGGAAGGUGCGGGCUACGGUAGGUCAGUAUGCCCCGAAUCAUCCGGGCUACACGCGGGCUACAAUGGUUGGGACAAUGGGCACCUACACCGAGAGGUGAUGGUAAUCUCCUAAACCCAGCCUUAGUUCGGAUUGAGGGCUGCAACUCGCCCUCAUGAAGCCGGAAUCCGUAGUAAUCGCGUAUCAAUAUCACGCGAUGAAUACGUCCCUGCUCCUUGCACACACCGCCCGUCAAACCAUGCGAGUGAGGUCUGAAUGAGGGCACGCUUUUUGGCGUGUUCGAAUUUGGGCUUCGCGAGUGGGGUUAAGUCGUAACAAGGUAACCUCAGUCAGUCA
rnacentral:rRNA from 1 species